rnacentral:rRNA from 1 species
CGGUGAAUACGUUCCCGGACCUUGUACACACCGUCCGUCAAGCCAUGGAAGCUGGGUGUACCUAAAGUCGAUAACCGCAAGGAGUCGCCUAGGGUAAAACUAGUAACUGGGGCU